GACCACGUAGCUCAGUUGGAAGAGCAUUGGGCUGGUAUUCCAAAGGUCGUAGGUUCGAAUCCCGCCGUGGCCA
rnacentral:tRNA from 1 species